rnacentral:tRNA from 1 species
ACAAAGCCUCUCGCUUACACCUAGAAGAUGUCUGCUAAACCCAGAUCAUUUUGA